AACGCCGGGAAACUCACCAGAUAAGACAGCUGAAUGAUAGUCGGGCUGAAGACUCUACUUGACUAGCUGAGAGGAGGUGCAUGGCCGUCGUCAGUUCGUACUGUGAAGCAUCCUGUUAAGUCAGGCAACGAGCGAGACCCACGCCAACAGUUGCCAGCUCGUCCUCCGGGAUGGUGGGGACAUUGUUGGGACCGCCUCUGCUAAAGAGGAGGAAGGAAUGGGCAACGGUAGGUCAGCAUGCCCCGAAUUAUCUGGGCUACACGCGGGCUACAAUGGGUGGGACAAUGGGUAUCGACACCGAAAGGUGAAGGCAAUCUCCUAAACCCAUCCGUAGUUCGGAUUGUGGGCUGCAACUCGCCCACAUGAAGCUGGAAUCUGUAGUAAUCGUGUCUCAAAAUGGCACGGUGAAUAUGUCCCUGCUCCUU
rnacentral:rRNA from 1 species